AUUUACCUGUAUGUAAGCACAGUGCGGUGUUAAUGUUCAAACUGUAUUUACAAUAUUUAAAGUGGCCGACAAUAAUAAAUAUUCUCAUUAGGAGUAAAACCACCUGGUUUUUGAACCGUGCGGAGCUGCAGCUGAAUAAUUAGGCCUACUACGCUGCUGUAUUUUAAUGUCGGUUGUUAUGGUGGUACUUGGAGAGCCAAAUAUUUUCUGAGGUGGUGCUUGGUGUAAAAGGUCUGAUAAUCUCUGUUCUAAUGCAUUAAUUAAAACAGUAACUUUCCCCAACACUGGUAGUUUUUAUUAGUGUUUAUGGAACUGAACCGAAUCCGUGCAUGCCCACUGAACGUCUCUACACUUUAAAACUCUACUGGAAAUAUUACAGCUUUACUCUACAUACUAUGCUUUGAAACACUUGUGCCGUGCCUGAAAUCACAUACUCCCUUAAGUACUUAUUUUGAAUAAGCAAUUGCUUCUCGAAGUAUCCAUCACAUGCAUACUUCAGAAUCUCCCCGGAAGAACUUUCACGAACUUGUGGAACGUUAUCAUGCAACACAGCAUGUACUACUUUUCUUUUUGUUUGUUUGUUUUUGUGAAGCCAUAUUCUGCACACUUUAGUUUCAGAGUUGCAAAGGCUGGUGGAAGAUGUCUGAAAGGCCAGUCGUUGAUUUCGGGAUGCUGGAGGGGUCAUGCUGAGGGCUCGUCGACUGCCGGUGCCUCCGAAGACUUCAGCCAGGACUCCUCGAGUAUAACGAUGCCCUCUGGUGUUUCCAGCUUCUUGCUGGAAUGUUUGGAUGUUGAUUCUCCAGCUUCACACACAGACACGACGCUUUCGUCCAUCGAGGAGUUUCGCAGAGCUGAUAAUCAUGGUAUAAUUUGUUGCCAUUGUAUGCUGUAAUUUCUUACGUGGAACACUUGACAGAUGUGACCCUGUAAACUGUCACCGUCACAUUCUUCCUGAAUAUU
ensembl:lncRNA